UUCCUGGCAUCGAGCUAUUGUCCCAUGGGGUCCCCCCCAGAGUAUCGUGGCCGCUCCAGCGUUUCACCACCAAGUUCGAGAUGGAUUGGUGUGGUUCCACUGGGCCAUGGACACCAGGAA
rnacentral:rRNA from 1 species